UUCAGAUAUUAACAUUUAUAUGUUUAGCACAUUAUUUUCUAUGUCUUAACAUCAUUAAAUAUGUUUUUUAAACGUUUGGAUAUAUUUCUUCUACAUAUUUCAUUAUUUAUGCCAUUUCAUAUGUGUGGUGUUAUGUAAUGGUUUUUAUGGUUCUCGUUUUUUUUUAAACUACGCAUUUAGAAAUACGUUAUUUUACUCAUAUUGUUCAGUUUUAGGAAAUAUAUACCAUAUACAUCAUUUACAAGAUUUACAUAGUAUGUAAAAUAUUUUGUGUUGAUUUUAAAAGACUGUAUUUCUAAGGUAUUCUCUGUAUUGGUCGAGCUAUUCCAGAAGGCUGCAGGAUUAAAAAUUACUUUGAAACUUUUACAAAUACAUUUUCUAGAUGUAAAACACUAAUCUUUUGUAGGUUGUGAAUUUUGAUUGUCCUAAAAUAUGUUUUUUUUUGUUUUAUACAUGGUAAUAAUACCUUACACGAGCACACAGUCUUCAAGCAUCCUUUCACAGAAGAAAAGAUGGAGGUGAUCUCAGACAAAGGUGCUUAAUUGUGAUCUGAUGAGGCCUAAUCGUCUGUCAAGGUUUAAAUCUGAUGAAGGAAAAUAAGCAUCGGAAGACAAAGGUUUAUGAUAAAUGGAGGUGUAUAUAACACAGUUCUGUCCUAUCUACAACAACAACUUGUACACUAAUUAAAUUCUCAAUUUUACUGGUUGCCUACCCAAUUCUUUAAAAAAUUGAUAUUAAGUUCUGUAUGGGUCUAACAAAUCAAGGUAAAUCAAAGAAAUGGGAAAUCAUCGGGUUUUACCUCAAUUUUCCUCAUUUAGACGAAUAUCGAAAGUGGCAGUGGCAAGAGUUUUUGAUGCAGUCAAAUCUACAGGGUGAUACAAAUACUACUUCACAGAUACAGCAGAAGAUAUAGAUAGAUAUGUUGGAUUACAAUUAUAUAUGGGACAAAUAAAUCAAGAUUUUGUACAACAAAUCGAUGGAUGUAUACAGUUCCAAAGCAGUACAUUUAUCAUUUUAACGAAUAUUACUAACAAUGCAUCAGGACUUAUAAGUAUAUCUAAAAGUUUAUUUCUUUUGGGUAAAUAUAUUUAAACUGGUUUUUAAUGUUCUUCGGUGGAUUUCAUGAUUUCUAAAUUUAAUUAUGUAGGAAAAAAAAUCCAGUGAGUCUCUGAGUUACAUUUUUAUGUCCCUUUAUUGUCAUAGGAAAAUUCAGAACAUCUGUUUUUAAUUUGCACCAAUUUUUGGCUUUUGAUCACUCCUUAUUCCUUUUGGGAGAAUACCAUCUUGAGGAAUUUAAUUUCGUGUUGUUUUUGGUUUACUUUCUUUUCUCUAUAAUAGCUUGAUUUUUCAUUGAUUCUAAAAAAUAUUUCAUUGAUUGUAUAUUUCUAUAAGUCUUCUUUUACUUGUAUUAUGUUUCUGAUGGUGUUAUUUAAUACUUUUUGCUUGUGUAAUUCUUUGUACAAAAUUUCAGUUUUGAUGGAUUCAUUUCCAUGUCAUUUUUUCAGAUCAUAUGCCAUGAAUUCCUGUCAUUUUACUUAUUCUGUUGCUUUAGUUUGUGUGCGUUUAAAUAAAAUUUAAACACACUUAAAAAUCUGAAGACUAAUUUCCGACCAAUUCCUGGCGCAUUCGCCAUUUAUUUAAAAACCGUAACUACUCCACAGGAUAUCACUUCUGCCUUUCCCAGCAUUUUUCCAAUUAAUUUCCCCGAGUAACAUCGACUCCAGAGCAU